rnacentral:SRP_RNA from 2 species
GCUGGGCGCGGUGGUGUGCGCCUGUAAUCCCAGCUACUUGGGAGGCUGAGGCAGGAGAAUCACUUGAACCCAGGAGGCGGAGGUUGCAGUGAGCCAAGAUCAUGCCACUGCACUCCGGCCUGGGUGACAGAGCGAGACUCUGUUUUUU